rnacentral:rRNA from 1 species
GACGAACGCUGGCGGCGUGCCUAACACAUGCAAGUCGAACGGAAAGGCCCUGCUUUUGUGGGGUGCUCGAGUGGCGAACGGGUGAGUAACAAGUGAGUAACCUGCCCUUGACUUUGGGAUAAAUUCAGGAAACUGGGGCUAAUACCGGAUAGGAGCUCCUGCUGCAUGGUGGGGGGUGGAAAGUUUCGGCGGUUGGGGAUGGACUCGCGGCUUAUCAGCUUGUUGGUGGGGUAGUGGCUUACCAAGGCUUUGACGGGUAGCCGGCCUGAGAGGGUGACCGGCCACAUUGGGACUGAGAUACGGCCCAGACUCCUACGGGAGGCAGCAGUGGGGAAUAUUGCACAAUGGGCGGAAGCCUGAUGCAGCAACGCCGCGUGCGGGAUGACGGCCUUCGGGUUGUAAACCGCUUUCGCCUGUGACGAAGCGUGAGUGACGGUAAUGGGUAAAGAAGCACCGGCUAACUACGUG